GACCAGACUUAUGACUUACCAGUCACGUCGAAGCUUCGGAUAAUAUUAUUAUAUUGCAAUUGUUGUUUUAUUUACUGGGUUGAAAAAAAGUGGUUGAUUGAUUGGUUGAUAGGUUGGUCAAUCGAUCGGUUGACUAAAUUCAGGGCGAUAUUAUUACAAACUAGCUGAAGAUCUAACAACUACGCAAUAGCAUUGGAGAAUAUAACGAUAUUGAAAAACGUACAAACUUCAUAUUAUAUUAUAUUGUUAUUUUAUUUACUUGAUUUAUGGGUUGGAUUGUUCGAUUGAUUGAUUGAUGGUCAAAAGAUUGGUUGUUUAAUUAGGAUACAUGAACUAACAAAGCUUAUUAAUACAAAUGUAGAUUUGAUUUAGCGAUUGGCUGUUCAUUAAUUCGUAGAUUUAUUGAAAUCGAAUGACUUAUAAAAUUUUGUUAGUUCGAUGAUUGAUUGAAAAGUGGAUUCAAUCAAUCGGUUGGUUGUUAAUUGUAUUGUCAAUACAUGGUUUGUAUGUAAGAUUUAUUACUAUAUUUGAUUGUUCACAAGGUUUGAAGGUUAGAUGAUCGAUUGAUUGAUUGAUUAUUCAAUCGAUUGGUUUGGUGAAUAGAUUGAUUUUAGCACUAACAGUAUUUUUGUUUUCAAGGAAAUAAAUCAAUGAUAUUAAAUGUUAAAUAAAAAGUAAUUACAAUGCUUGUAUAUUGUGUUAUCAAAUUAAUUUGAUUUAUAAUAUUAAAAUGAGAAUUUCAAAUAAUUAUUUUACUAUAUAUACACAACAGUGUUUAUGUAUUUACCAAAAAGUUUGACGGUUUUUAAAUGUGAUCUAUUUUACAGGCUUUAAAAUUAUGUAAUUUUUAAUGUAAUAAAUCACGUUUAAAGCGGUAACAAUUUAUAGAUUGUAUUUGAGUGGAGGGUUUUCUAAAAGAAGGUGUAAGUUUAAUUUAAUAUAUUAUUGUAAUGUAUUUAAUUUGUAUUUAUUAACGGACAUCCGUUAACUUCCUAUUUAAAAUAGUUUUUUAGUAAUUUCAAGUUAUUUUUGUCUACUUACUUAUCGUCCAGGUCAAAUGUUUUACAAUAAAAAUGAUCCAAAACUGUUCCAGCCUUUUGCAAAAUAGUAAAAACUGUUUAUUUAUGUUAAUAAUUGGGUCGGACGUACAGACGAAUCAUUAAGAAUAUUUCUAUGUAAUUACUGAGCAUGAAAAAAACACGUAAUGUAUAACAAUAUUCGAUAAAAAUAUCAUAAUAAAAAAUACAAAGAAUGUAAAAUAAAUUGUAGAAAAAAGCUUAACGCCACAAAUCUUUGUGAAAAAUGGUCCUUCGAGCAGGAUUUAUGAUUUUCUAUGAAAUAAGUUAUUGGAAAUAAAUAAUUUCUGUUAUAAAGAGCUAUCAUUAGCUGUAUGUCCACGGUGUAAUGUAUUUGAUUUGUAUUUAAUAUUUUACAAAUAUAUCGACGAUAGUUGUAUGUUAUAGUUAUUUUAUUAAAGUUUUUGAAUUA